AUUGAACGCUGGCGGCAUGCCUUACACAUGCAAGUCGAACGGCAGCACGGGUGCUUGCACCUGGUGGCGAGUGGCGAACGGGUGAGUAAUACAUCGGAACGUACCUUAUCGUGGGGGAUAACGCAGCGAAAGCUGUGCUAAUACCGCAUACGCUCUGAGGGGGAAAGCGGGGGAUCGCAAGACCUCGCGCGAUUAGAGCGGCCGAUGCCUGAUUAGCUUGUUGGUGGGGUAAAAGCCCACCAAGGCGACGAUCAGUAGCUGGUCUGAGAGGACGAUCAGCCACACUGGGACUGAGACACGGCCCAGACUCCUACGGGAGGCAGCAGUGGGGAAUUUUGGAAAAUGGGGGCAACCCUGAUCCAGCAAUGCCGCGUGAGUGAAGAAGGCCUUCGGGUUGUAAAGCUCUUUUGUCAGGGAAGAAACACCGGCUCUAACACAGUCUGGGAAUGACGGUACCUGAAGAAUAAGCACCGGCUAACUACGUGCCAGCCGCCGCCGUAA
rnacentral:rRNA from 1 species